GAUGAACGCUGGCGGCGUGCCUAAUACAUGCGAGUCGAGCGAACGGACGAGAAGCUUGCUUCUCUGAUGUUAGCGGCGGACGGGUGAGUAACACGUGGAUAACCUACCUAUAAGACUGGGAUAACUUCGGGAAACCGGAGCUAAUACCGGAUGAUAUUUUGAACCGCAUGGUUCAAAAGUGAAAGACGGUCUUGCUGUCACUUAUAGAUGUAUCCGCGCUGCAUUAGCUAGUUGGUAAGGUAACGGCUUACCAAGGCAACGAUGCAUAGCCGACCUGAGAGGGUGAUCGGCCACACUGGAACUGAGACACGGUCCAGACUCCUACGGGAGGCAGCAGUAGGGAAUCUUCCGCAAUGGGCGAAAGCCUGACGGAGCAACGCCGCGUGAGUGAUGAAGGUCUUCGGAUCGUAAAACUCUGUUAUUAGGGAAGAACAUAUGUGUAAGUAACUGUGCACAUCUUGACGGUACCUAAUCAGAAAGCCACGGCUAACUACGUG
rnacentral:rRNA from 1 species